UGACGGGGGCCCGCACAAGCGGUGGAGCAUGUGGUUUAAUUCGAAGCAACGCGAAGAACCUUACCUGGGCUUGACAUGUUCCUGACCGGUGUGGAAACACACCUUCCCUUCGGGGCAGGAUCACAGGUGGUGCAUGGCUGUCGUCAGCUCGUGUCGUGGGAUGUUGGGUUAAGUCCCGCAACGAGCGCAACCCUUGUCCUAUGUUGCCAGCGGGUAAUGCCGGGGACUCGUAGGAGACUGCCGGGGUCAACUCGGAGGAAGGUGGGGAUGACGUUUACCGACAGCU
rnacentral:misc_RNA from 1 species